rnacentral:rRNA from 1 species
GAUGAACGCUAGCGGCAGGCCUAAUACAUGCAAGUCGAGGGGUAGUGGAGCUUGCUCCAUGAGACCGGCGCACGGGUGCGUAACGCGUAUGCAACCUACCUUAACCUGGGGGAUAGCCCGGAGAAAUCCGGAUUAAUACCGCAUAAAAUCACAGUACGGCAUCGUACAAUGAUCAAACAUUCAUGGGGUUGGGAUGGGCAUGCGUGCCAUUAGUUAGUUGGCGGGGUAACGGCCCACCAAGACCGCGAUGGCUAGGGGAUCUGAGA